GAUGAACGCUGGCGGCGUGCCUAAUACAUGCAAGUCGAGCGAACGGACGAGAAGCUUGCUUCUCUGAUGUUAGCGGCGGACGGGUGAGUAACACGUGGAUAACCUACCUAUAAGACUGGGAUAACUUCGGGAAACCGGAGCUAAUACCGGAUAAUAUUUUGAACCGCAUGGUUCAAAAGUGAAAGACGGUCUUGCUGUCACUUAUAGAUGGAUCCGCGCUGCAUUAGCUAGUUGGUAAGGUAACGGCUUACCAAGGCAACGAUGCAUAGCCGACCUGAGAGGGUGAUCGGCCACACUGGAACUGAGACACGGUCCAGACUCCUACGGGAGGCAGCAGUAGGGAAUCUUCCGCAAUGGGCGAAAGCCUGACGGAGCAACGCCGCGUGAGUGAUGAAGGUCUUCGGAUCGUAAAACUCUGUUAUUAGGGAAGAACAUAUGUGUAAGUAACUGUGCACAUCUUGACGGUACCUAAUCAGAAAGCCACGGCUAACUACGUGCCAGCAGCCGCGGUAAUACGUANGUGGCAAGCGUUAUCCGGAAUUAUUGGGCGUAAAGCGCGCGUAGCGGUUUUUUAAGUCUGAUGUGAAAGCCCACGGCUCAACCGUGGAGGGUCAUUGGAAACUGGAAAACUUGAGUGCAGAAGAGGAAAGUGGAAUUCCCUGUGUAGCGGUGAAAUGCGCAGAGAUAUGGAGGAACACCAGUGGCGAAGGCGACUUUCUGGUCUGUAACUGACGCUGAUGUGCAAAAGCGUGGGGAUCAAACAGGAUUAGAUACCCUGGUAGUCCCCGCCGUAAACGAUGAGUGCUAAGUGUUAGGGGGUUUCCGCCCCUUAGUGCUGCAGCUAACGCAUUAAGCACUCCGCCUGGGGAGUACGACCGCAAGGUUGAAACUCAAAGGAAUUGACGGGGACCCGCACAAGCGGUGGAGCAUGUGGUUUAAUUCGAAGCAACGCGAAGAACCUUACCAAAUCUUGACAUCCUUUGACAACUCUAGAGAUAGAGCCUUCCCCUUCGGGGGACAAAGUGACAGGUGGUGCAUGGUUGUCGUCAGCUCGUGUCGUGAGAUGUUGGGUUAAGUCCCGCAACGAGCGCAACCCUUAAGCUUAGUUGCCAUCAUUAAGUUGGGCACUCUAAGUUGACUGCCGGUGACAAACCGGAGGAAGGUGGGGAUGACGUCAAAUCAUCAUGCCCCUUAUGAUUUGGGCUACACACGUGCUACAAUGGACAAUACAAAGGGCAGCGAAACCGCGAGGUCAAGCAAAUCCCAUAAAGUUGUUCUCAGUUCGGAUUGUAGUCUGCAACUCGACUACAUGAAGCUGGAAUCGCUAGUAAUCGUAGAUCAGCAUGCUACGGUGAAUACGUUCCCGGGUCU
rnacentral:rRNA from 1 species